rnacentral:rRNA from 1 species
GAUGAACGCUGGCGGCGUGCCUAAUACAUGCAAGUCGAGCGAAUGGAUUAAGAGCUUGCUCUUAUGAAGUUAGCGGCGGACGGGUGAGUAACACGUGGGUAACCUGCCCAUAAGACUGGGAUAACUCCGGGAAACCGGGGCUAAUACCGGAUAACAUUUUGAACCGCAUGGUUCGAAAUUGAAAGGCGGCUUCGGCUGUCACUUAUGGAUGGACCCGCGUCGCAUUAGCUAGUUGGUGAGGUAACGGCUCACCAAGGCAACGAUGCGUAGCCGACCUGAGAGGGUGAGCGGCCACUCUGGGACGGAGACACGGCCCAGACUCCUACGGGAGGCAGCAGUAGGGAAUCUUCCGCAAUGGACGAAAGUCUGACGGAGCAACGUCGCGUGAGUGAUGAAGGCUUUCGGGUCGUAAAACUCUGUUGUUAGGGAAGAACAAGUGCUAGUUGAAUAAGCUGACACCUUGACGGUACCUAACCAGAAAGCCACGGCUAACUACGUGCCAGCAGCCGCCGUAA